AUUGAACGCUGGCGGCAGGCCUAACACAUGCAAGUCGAGCGCGCGGCGGACGCGUGAGUAAUGUCUGUGAAACUCCCUGCUGGAGGGGGAUAACUACUGGAAACGGUAGCUAAUACCGCAUACCAUCAGAUGUGCCCACAUGGGCGUAGCUAGUGGGUGGGGUAACGGCUCACCUAGGCGACGAUCCCUAGCUGGUCUGAGACGAUGACCAGCCAAACGGGAACUGAGACACGGGCCAGACUCCAAGGGGAGGCAGCAGUGGGGAAUAUUGCACAAUGGGGGCAAGCCUGAUGCAGCCAUGCCGGGUGUGUGAAGAAGGCCUUCGGGUUGUAAAGCACUUUCAGCGGGGAGGCGUUACCCGCAGAAGAAGCACCGGCGAACUCCGUGCCAGCAGCCGCGGUAAUAC
rnacentral:rRNA from 1 species